UCCAGGUGUAGGAAAUUCAGGUGAUUAGAGCAGCUUGUCGGUCAAUAAGGUAAGCCAGAGAGAGAGGGAGAAGAGCUAAGAGAACAGGAGGAGGCACUGAGAUAAAACAAAGCUGGUUGAUGCUGCAGAAGGAAGAUAGCCUUGCUUUUUAGGGCUAGCAGUGUUGGCAACCCAUUACAAGAAGUAGGGCGUGGGAUCUACUUCUGAUGGAUUCUGUAAUGGGGUGUAGCAACCACUGGUCUGAAGGGGAGUACAGAGAACCAGUUUAUGCUGCCAUCUGUUAAAGCCUGUGAACAAGAGGUGAAUGAGAGAGCUGAAAAGCUGAGCCCAGGACAGUGGUGGUGAUAGAAGUCAGAUCCUUGAAAUGAAAGAGCUGUGUUGGCAAACUUACAGUGGUGGAUUUGUCCUGUGUUUGUUUGAGCAUGGCUUAUGCUUCAGAUGGGAUGGACCUCCUAUGUGUUGGCCAGGAGGCCAAGUCACUUCAGAGAUCUAGAAGAUUGUCUGACAGUGACUAAAUAGAAUGAGGAAAAUGGAUGUGAUGUUCAAAAGAAAAUUGAGGGAGUGAAUAUGUACAAAGGCAGAUGAGAGGAAGCAAGGUACAAAAGCUUUCGUAUAUUUUUACAUUUUUCUGAUGAGCGACCUGUACAGACCUGACACCAUAGGAUAUAUUAUAGCCACGCUGUCCAGCAAGUCAUGCACCAGCAUAAAUAUAUAAACGAAGCAGAGAAUUGGACUGUCUUCUCUAUGUGAGGUAUAUAAGGCAGAUGUCCUAUUUAGCCAGAGGUGAACUUCUCAUUGUUCAGCAAUUGAGAUUGGAUGAACACCCAGGAAUUCAAAUGCUUAUGUAAACAUUAUCCAAAUGAUCCAAAGAGUUUUUGCUGGCCAAAUGGAGUAGGCUUCCUAUAGAAACAUGCUCCCUGGAUUUCCAAUAACAAGACUUGCAAUUUCUAAACUUCAAAACAAGCUUGAUUCUGAUUGUCUUUUCCUUUACCCAAACCAGUUGUGUUGUUCCUAAUUUUAUUGUCUAGCUUUCAGGUUUUUAAAUGAUUCAGUCAUGAACAGAGCUAUAUUUCACAGCUGGGUUCCCCCCCCUCCUUUUUUUUUUUUUUUUAAAAUACAAAGCAUGUUGUGAUAUUUGCAUGAUAAUGUGCUUUAUAAGUUGCUGCAGGAUUGGAUUGGGUCCUUUUGUGUGUACAGUUGUUUGUUGCCUUUCACUAUUGUUUACUGGCUAAUGGCCAAAUCCUGAAAGCUAUCGUAUGCCAGCAGUUUCUAUUGACUCUAAGACAAUACUAGGAGCCAGUGGGAGUUGUCUAUGGCUGUGUGCAUCUGGGGGCAAAACUUAACACUCAAUCAGUGACUUGCUAAUGCUAUACAAAGGUUAAAGUAAAGUACCAUAUUUCCUCACAUACAGCACACCCCAGGAGUAGAAUAUACAAUAUGUUUUUGAAAGGCCGAAUGAAGAAAAACAAUUUUUCCAGUUAUGGCUGCAUAGAGCAGGGACAGGGCCUAACCUUCAGCUGAUUCACUCCUUUCCUGCAUAACUACAGCAGACUGGUCUCUAUGGGAGGGUCUGUGGUUUUGAAAUGAGUUAAUCUCAAAGGCUGUGAAAUAGAGAGGGAGGGACCAGGAGAAGCUAGCUGACAGCUAAAUUGCCCCAAAAAUUGAGUUUGGUUAGUGGAACAUCAAGACCAUUAAAAAGAGCAGACAAUUAUUAACAACUUUGGAGUGAAGAAUAAUGAGCCAUUAAGUGUAAGGAAUUGGGUCAUAGGUAGUCUGGCUUAAUGGUUAGGCCAUUGAGGGAGAGCAGGGACCAGGGGUCUUCCCUUAGCUUCAUAAAUGUUUAGCUGAGCCAGGGUCUGAGAGCCAAAUUACCUGGUCCAGAAGGAAAUCCAGGGGCACAAUCCAAAACACAGGCCAAGGGCUAAAAUUAGAUGCCCAGUUACCAAGUACAAGGGAUACAACCAUAGGUCAAAGUUCUUGAAUAGAGCCAAACUGGAAUCAGGAACCAGGAGGAUUUCCAAAGCAGGCUGGGGGCAGAAAUGUUGAAAGUUAGCUGCCACGGCCAAGGCUAAAUGGGUAGAUGGUGCUCUCAGCAGCCAGUAGGGAGCCUAGCUAAUUUAUUAGCUGAGUCAGUGCUUUUCAGCCAGAGACUCAAGGCAGGUGUGGCUGCCUAGGUAAUUAACCCAGACUAGGCUGCCUGAUUAGGGUCCCUGCCUGAUUAGCUGUCCCUGUUCCAUGCAGCUGGGGAGUAUAUAAACUCCUUCAGCUUGCCUGAAUACUAAUACAAGAGCUGCUGGACUGUGGAGCAGGAAUCAAAACAGGAUGCUUCUUCCCUGGGUAGAAAAUCAACCUCCCUGCUUAAUACAUGCGCUCCAAUUUAGAGGGGCUGAUUUUGGAGGAAAAGAUGUGUGUUGUAUGUGAGAAAAUGUAGUACUGAGAAAUCAAAAUAAACUCACUCAAGUAGUUUACACUGAUACAAUCUACUGUGCUACUCUUAGUGAACUUCCUCCUUUCAAACAGUUACAUGAUAGGUUAUGUUUCAACCAACUUGGAGAAACCACAACUGAUUCCUUGUAAUUAUUUUCUAUUGUAUAACCUUCUAUUUGAAUAUGAGACUUCUGUGAAAUGUUUUUGAAGGGUUUACAAAUGAUAUGGUCCUGAAUCGUAUCAAAGAAGUUUCAAAUUUUUCCUCUGGAGUCAUUUAAAUU